AUAUAAGUUAUCGUUUAUUUGAUAGUACCUUACUCCUUGGAUAACCGUGGUAAUUCUAGAGCUAAUACAUGCUAAAAAUCCCGACUUCGGAAGGGAUGUAUUUAUUAGAUUAAAAACCAAUGCCCCCCGGGGCUCUCUGGUGAUUCAUGAUAACUUCUCGAAUCGCACGGCCUUGCGCCGGCGAUGGUUCAUUCAAAUUUCUUCCCUAUCAACUUUCGAUGUUUGGGUAGUGGCCAAACAUGGUUGCAACGGGUAACGGAGGGUUAGGGCUCGACCCCGGAGAAGGAGCCUGAGAAACGGCUACUACAUCCAAGGAAGGCAGCAGGCGCGCAAAUUACCCAAUCCCGAUUCGGGGAGGUAGUGACAAUAAAUACUGAUACAGGGCUCUUUCGGGUCUUGUAAUUGGAAUGAGUACAAUUUAAAUCCCUUAACGAGGAACAAUUGGAGGGCAAGUCUGGUGCCAGCAGCCGCGGUAAUUCCAGCUCCAAUAGCGUAUAUUAAAGUUGUUGUGGUUAAAAAGCUCGUAGUUGAACCUUGGGCCUGGCUGGCCGGUCCGCCUCACCGCGUGUCACUGGUCCGGCCGGGUCUUUCCCUCUGUGGAACCACAUGCCCUUCACUGGGCGUGGCGGGGAAACAGGACUUUUACUUUGAAAAAAUUAGAGUGCUCCAGGCAGGCCUAUGCUCGAAUACAUUAGCAUGGAAUAAUGAAAUAGGACGUGCGGUUCUAUUUUGUUGGUUUCUAGGACCGCCGUAAUGAUUAAUAGGGACAGUCGGGGGCAUCAGUAUUCAAUUGUCAGAGGUGAAAUUCUUGGAUUUAUUGAAGACUAACUACUGCGAAAGCAUUUGCCAAGGAUGUUUUCAUUAAUCAGGAACGAAAGUUAGGGGAUCGAAGACGAUCAGAUACCGUCGUAGUCUUAACCAUAAACUAUGCCGACUAGGGAUCGGACGAUGUUAUUUAGUUGACUCGUUCGGCACCUUACGAGAAAUCAAA
rnacentral:rRNA from 1 species